GACGAACGCUGGCGGCGUGCCUAACACAUGCAAGUCGAACGGAACUUCUUUAAAGGAUUUCUUCGGAAUGAAUUUGAUUAAGUUUAGUGGCGGACGGGUGAGUAACGCGUGAGUAACCUGCCUCUGAGAGGGGAAUAACAUUCUGAAAAGAAUGCUAAUACCGCAUAAUAUAUAUUUAUCGCAUGGUAGAUAUAUCAAAGAUUUAUCGCUUAGAGAUGGACUCGCGUCCGAUUAGUUAGUUGGUGAGGUAACGGCUCACCAAGACCGCGAUCGGUAGCCGGACUGAGAGGUUGAACGGCCACAUUGGGACUGAGACACGGCCCAGACUCCUACGGGAGGCAGCAGUGGGGGAUAUUGCACAAUGGGGGGAAACCCUGAUGCAGCGACGCCGCGUGGAGGAAGAAGGUUUUCGGAUUGUAAAACUCCUGUCGUUAGGGACGAUAAUGACGGUACCUAACAAGAAAGCACCGGCUAACUACGUG
rnacentral:rRNA from 1 species